rnacentral:lncRNA from 1 species
GAGGGGGAGUGUUGAGAAGAGGUGAUAAAGAGUGGAUACAUUGAUAAAGGAAGAGUAUUGAAGCAGUCAGUUACUUUGGGGAUUUACCACAGUAACUUUAGUUUUUACUGUGGUAACUAAGCUAAAGGCUUGGGAAGUUAUCUUGCAACACUUUGGAGAGUAUAUCACGCCAAGGAGCAGUCUGGAUAAGAAAGGAUCAGUUUGGAUAAGGUCUGGUCAUAGCUGGAAAGGAAAAGCUACUUUACAGCCUGUCCAAGCAUGUGAAGCCUCUCAACCAUCCAGCUAGCUUUGACUUCACAUGCUUUGAGUCCCAUUUCGAAAUCCCCUUUGUACCAGCCUUAUCUCUUCAUAUAUAACUUGUAUCUGAGACAUUAAAUCAAUUAAUGGAGUUUUGAGUAUUCUCUCUAUUCUCUCUCUACU